GAUGAACGCUGGCGGCGUGCCUAAUACAUGCAAGUCGAGCGAACAGACGAGUAGCUUUCUCCUCUGACGUUAGCGUCGUACGGGUGAGUAACACGUGGAUAACUUACCUAUAAGACUGGGAUAACUUCGGGAAACCUGAGCUAAUACCGGAUAACAUGUUGAACCGCAUGGUUCAACAGUGAAAGACGGUCUUGCUGUCACUUAUAGAUGUAUCCGCGCCGCAUUAGCUAGUUGGUAAGGUAACGGCUUACCAAGGCAACGAUGCGUAGCCGACCUGAGAGGGUGAUCGGCCACACUGGAACUGAGACACGGUCCAGACUCCUACGGGAGGCAGCAGUAGGGAAUCUUCCGCAAUGGGCGAAAGCCUGACGGAGCAACGCCGCGUGAGUGAAGAAGGUCUUCGGAUCGUAAAACUCUGUUAUUAGGGAAGAACAAAUGUGUAAGUAACUAUGCACGUAUUGACGGUACCUAAUCAGAAAGCCACGGCUAACUACGUG
rnacentral:rRNA from 1 species